GAGGAGGAAAAUGCACCUGUGAUGUGUUUGGCUUCCUUUAUGUAGUCAGCGAGUGUGUAUCGAAGCAAAUCUUCAAACAUCUCAAGUAGAAGGAAGCUCUAUCCCAUGUAGGAAAUUAUUCGCAAGCUCCCGCAACGAAGAAGAAACCAAAGUAGCAUCGAAGUGGAACUUGACCUAGGACAUAUUGUUCAUCUUUUUUGUAAUUCGGACACCCUAAACUAAACAACAGGCUUCCCCCCUAGAAUGGAAUUUGGUUUGUAUCGGUGAAUUGCUGGGUAUCUUGCGAUGCCUGGGAUGCGAGGCAAUGGAUGAGUGACUAGCUUUCAGAUCGAUGGGAAAGCUACAACUGUCGCUGUAACGUUUCUAAACGUUGGCUACGAUGCUAGAUCUCGUUUAUUCGAAAUUGCGCGCAAAUGUCUAAGAUGUUACGCUGAAGGCGUUCUCAUUGACACCUGUAGGAAUGUCAAUCGGUUGGCAGGUUGGUGUUGUCGUCGUGGUUUCCGUUUGAUUCAUGCGAACCGCGCCACACUUGAAGUGCUAGCCUCAUAUCUUUCAUCAUCAUCAUCAUCAUCAUCAUCAUCAUCAUCAUCAUCAUCAUCGCUAGCCUUUAAUAGUCAGAGAUGAAGAAGGGGAGGAGGCAGAGGAGUAAAGCUGAAUUCUGUAAUAGGAGAAGGGGAGGAGGGGGGAGUCACAUCACCGACGUGGAAUUCAUUCUCUGUUCUUCGUGUAGGCUGUUGUUGUUGUUCGGUUUAUUUGUGAAGCAGCGAGUCGUGUUAUAAAAAGGGUGUUUAAAUAAAUUCGGUUGAAAGAAA